rnacentral:rRNA from 1 species
GAACGCGAAGAACCUUACCAAGGCUUGACAUGCACGGCGACACUGCAGAGAUGUGGUGGCAUUUAGUUGGUCGUGUGCAGGUGGUGCAUGGUUGUCGUCAGCUCGUGUCGUGAGAUGUUGGGUUAAGUCCCGCAACGAGCGCAACCCUUGCCCUAUGUUGCCAGCACGUGAUGGUGGGGACUCGUGGGGGACUGCCGGGGUUAACUCGGAGGAAGGUGGGGAUGACGUCAAAUCAUCAUGCCCCUUAUGUCUUGGGCUUCACGCAUGCUACAAUGGUUGGUACAGAGGGUUGCGAUAUCGUGAGGUGGAGCGAAUCCCUUAAAGCCAGUCUCAGUUCGGAUUGGGGUCUGCAACUCGACCCCAUGAAGGUGGAGUCGCUAGUAAUCGCAGAUCAGCAACGCUGCGGUGAAUACGUUCUCGGGUCUUGUACACACC